UGGGGAAUAUUGGACAAUGGGGGGAACCCUGAUCCAGCCAUGCCGCGUGUGUGAAGAAGGUCUUCGGAUUGUAAAGCACUUUAAGUUGGGAGGAAGGGCUUACUAUUAAUACUAGUAAGUUUUGACGUUACCGACAGAAUAAGCACCGGCUAACUUCGUGCCAGCAGCCGCGGUAAUACGAAGGGUGCAAGCGUUAAUCGGAAUUACUGGGCGUAAAGCGCGCGUAGGUGGUUCGUUAAGUUAGGAGUGAAAGCCCCGGGCUCAACCUGGGAAUUGCUUCUAAAACUGGCGGGCUAGAGUAUGGUAGAGGGUGGUGGAAUUUCCUGUGUAGCGGUGAAAUGCGUAGAUAUAGGAAGGAACAUCAGUGGCGAAGGCGACCACCUGGACUGAUACUGACACUGAGGUGCGAAAGCGUGGGGAGCAAACAGG
rnacentral:rRNA from 2 species